GAUGAACGCUAGCGGCAGGCUUAAUACAUGCAAGUCGAGGGGUAGCAAGAUUGUAGCAAUACAAUUGUUGACGACCGGCAAACGGGUGCGGAACACGUACACAACCUUCCUACAAGUGGGGAAUAGCCCAGAGAAAUUUGGAUUAAUACCCCGUAACAUAGCGAUGUGGCAUCACAUUGCUAUUAUAGCUUCGGCGCUUGUUGAUGGGUGUGCGGCUGAUUAGAUAGUUGGCGGGGUAACGGCCCACCAAGUCUACGAUCAGUAGCUGAUGUGGAAGCAUGAUCGGCCACAAGGGAACUGAGACACGGGCCCGAAUCCUACGGGAGGCAGCAGUAAAGAAAAUUGGGCAAUGGGCGCAAGUCUGAUCCAGCCAUGCCGCGUGAAGGAUUAAGGUCCUCUGGAUUGUAAACUUCUUUUAUAAGGGACGAAAAAAGGUCUUUCUAGAUCGUCUGACGGUACCUUAUGAAUAAGCACCGGCUAACUCCGUGCCAGCAGCCGCGGUAAGAC
rnacentral:rRNA from 1 species